AGAGUUUGAUCCUGGCUCAGGACGAACGCUGGCGGCGUGCCUAACACAUGCAAGUCGAGCGAUGAAAUCCCUUCGGGGAUGGAUUAGCGGCGGACGGGUGAGUAACACGUGGGUAACCUGCCUCAAAGAGGGGGAUAGCCUCCCGAAAGGGAGAUUAAUACCGCAUAACAUUAGUUUUUCGCAUGGAGAACUAAUUAAAGGAGUAAUCCGCUUUGAGAUGGACCCGCGGCGCAUUAGCUAGUUGGUGAGGUAAAGGCUCACCAAGGCGACGAUGCGUAGCCGACCUGAGAGGGUGAUCGGCCACAUUGGAACUGAGACACGGUCCAGACUCCUACGGGAGGCAGCAGUGGGGAAUAUUGCACAAUGGGCGAAAGCCUGAUGCAGCAACGCCGCGUGAGUGAUGAAGGCCUUCGGGUUGUAAAGCUCUGUCUUUGGGGACGAUAAUGACGGUACCCAAGGAGGAAGCCACGGCUAACUACGUGCCAGCAGCCGCGGUAAUACGUAGGUGGCAAGCGUUGUCCGGAUUUACUGGGCGUAAAGGAUGCGUAGGCGGAUAUUUAAGUGAGAUGUGAAAUUCCCGAGCUUAACUUGGGAGCUGCAUUUCAAACUGGAUAUCUAGAGUGUGGGAGAGGAGAAUGGAAUUCCUAGUGUAGCGGUGAAAUGCGUAGAGAUUAGGAAGAACACCAGUGGCGAAGGCGAUUCUCUGGACCAUAACUGACGCUGAGGCAUGAAAGCGUGGGUAGCAAACAGGAUUAGAUACCCUGGUAGUCCACGCCGUAAACGAUGAGUACUAGGUGUAGGGGGGUCCAACCUUCUGUGCCGCAGUUAACACAAUAAGUACUCCGCCUGGGAAGUACGAUCGCAAGAUUAAAACUCAAAGGAAUUGACGG
rnacentral:rRNA from 1 species